AGCAACUGGUCAACUUUUCCUCUGCACAGGUUAUGAUGAAUUUCCCCCAUGGUGCUUAAACUAGUUACAGAUGGAUGUGCAGUCACUGUAGCAAGAAACAUGUCCACUAUUACAGGUAAUGUGAAGAGUAUCAGUAAUAAAAGAGGGAAGAGAAACAGCUGGAGCGAGCUUAAUUAUGCAAAGUCAGUCGCGUUGUUAACUUAAACCUUCUGUAUGCCUCUAUAAACUCAGAAUAUGCCUAAGGAAAUUAUAGGAAAAUUAAAA